rnacentral:tRNA from 1 species
GGGGUUGUGGCUCAGUGGUAGAGUGCUCGCCUAGCACGUGCAAGGCCCUGGGUUCAAUUCUCAGCACCA